ensembl:snoRNA SNORA65 small nucleolar RNA SNORA65
CCCGCCACUGCACCUGAUCAGUUCUCUGUUGGCUGGUGCAAUCCAGUGGUGAGCUGAUAGUAAACCCCAGCUUAGGAAACAGAGUUGUUCUUCAUGUGGAUGACUCUGUGCCGAAAGCAUGGGAACAGCC